rnacentral:rRNA from 1 species
UACAGAGGUCUCAAGCGUUGUUCGGAUUCAUUGGGCGUAAAGGGUGUGUAGGUGGCGCGGUAAGUCGGGUGUGAAAUUCGAUGGCUUAACUCCGAAACUGCAUUCGAUACUGCCGUGCUUGAGGACUGGAGAGGAGACUGGAAUUUACGGUGUAGCGGUGAAAUGCGUAGAUAUCAGGAGGAACACCGGUGGCGAAGGCGGGUCUCUGGGCCGUAACUGACGCUGAGGAGCGAAAGCAUGGGGGAGCGAACAGG